UACGAAGGGGGCUAGCGUUGCUCGGAAUUACUGGGCGUAAAGGGCGCGUAGGCGGAUAGUUUAGUCAGAGGUGAAAGCCCAGGGCUCAACCUUGGAACUGCCUUUGAUACUGGCUAUCUUGAGUUCGGGAGAGGUGAGUGGAAUGCCGAGUGUAGAGGUGAAAUUCGUAGAUAUUCGGCGGAACACCAGUGGCGAAGGCGACUCACUGGCCCGAUACUGACGCUGAGGCACGAAAGCGUGGGGAGCAAACAGG
rnacentral:rRNA from 1 species